CUUGCAAAUUGUCAGUGAGAGAAUGAGGAGAAGUGCUGUCCCUCUCCCUGGGGCUGACUUCACUUUGCACCAGUGUUCUCAUGUCCCAAGGAGAGCUGGAGAAACGUCAUCUGAGUGUUUCGUGGGGGCAAUGCUGCCCUCCAUUCCCAUUGUGGGAAGAGGAACUCUGGCUCGGCCGAAUGUCUUCUUGAUGUCUCCUGAUGGGGCAGCCCCCAAAGCCUGCAGUUCUUCCUUCUGGGGGUCAUUAAGUUCUAGAGGGCUGAUGUCAACAUUUUGUUACCUUGCUGAGAAGCCCAGCUUGAAGACUACGUUAAUUUACAUUUGCCUGUGUUCCAACCAUGCGUUCCAGCUCACGGCCUCAGGGCAGACACUGAGGUAAGAAGAUGGAACUCCUCUUGACUCCAGGGGGACAUUCUGAGAGCUCAGCUGAGGAGCCGAGGUGUCAAGGCACUGAAGG
rnacentral:lncRNA from 12 species